CGCGUGAGUGGUGCCUGGGUUGCUUGCUUGCGUAAAUAGAGUCUCUGCAUAGUCAGCGAACUGUUUGGCAACAACCCUUCCCAUUCAUUAUUUGCCCGCUUCAAGAGCCAAUGCUGGCCGCCUCGUAAUUGAUGGUUUCUUGUGUUGAAUGCCUUCGGUUUGGUACCAUAAUGUCCCAUUGGAAAAAUCCUUCUCGGCGUCCCUCGGGAAUGGUGAGUGGACUUUCAUGCGGGGUUUGUUGGCCGUCCACCCAUGGACAAAAUUGUUGGGGAGGCGCGGCCAAUGUUCCUCGGCGGAUUUCUAGGUUGUGGAAUAUUGCUUGGGCGGUGAUCGAUCAUCGUCCCGACGACGACAUCUCGAAAGAACGACGGUUUGCAUGUGCGUUGAGCGCUAGUUUUCACUGGUGGCUCAUGCGCAUCGACGUCGCAUGAGGAAUGCUACCUGGUUGAUCCUGCCAGUAGUCAUAUGCUUGUCUCAAAGAUUUAAGCCAUGCAUGUGUAA
rnacentral:misc_RNA from 1 species